UACGUAGGUGACAAGCGUUGUCCGGAUUUACUGGGCGUAAAGAGCGCGCAGGCGGUCGAUCAAGUCGAGUGUGAAAGCCCCGGCUCAACUGGGGAGGGUCAUUCGAUACUGAUCGACUCGAAGGCAGGAGAGGGUAGUGGAAUUCCCGGUGUAGUGGUGAAAUGCGUUGAUAUCCUGAGGAACACCGGUGGCGAAAGCGGCUCACUGGGUCUUUUCUGACGCUGAGGCACGAAAGCUAGGGUAGCGAACGGG
rnacentral:rRNA from 1 species